ensembl:lncRNA
AGCUGCUUUAAUCACUCUAAUUACUUUUGUUCUAUUGGGAAAUAGAGUCAAGUUAUCCCAGAUCCAGUUUUAACAUGAUGAAGUCAGACAUAAAAGCCUGUAUAAGGUGAUUAAAUAAGUGUUUUAUAGCAACAGCAAAUAACUAAUAAAAUAUAUACUUUUCAAACCAUGAAGUUAAUGCCAUAACUUUGUGCUAAUGGUGUAUGAUUUCCAAUGAAUCCAGACAAAUUGACAUGGAAACAGAUUAUUUGCAUCGAGGCCCUGGGAGGUUGUGCUUCAUUAUGAGAGCUAAUUAAAUAACGGCACAUACUCCCUGCGUCGUUUGAAAGCCUGAAAAUGUUUUUCCCUUUUCAUGGCCAGUGAAAAGUUUUUAUUAGUUUAUGUUUAUUACUCCAACUGUCUUCCAAGUGUCUCACCACAUAAAAAAUAUUUCACUUAGUAAAUGGUCAUUUAGCUGUUGUUCAUGGUACGUUUGCCUGUGUGGUGUAAAUUUCAUCAUCUGUCCAACUCAGAGAGUCUACAUAGACCCUGUUUGCAGUACAGGUACUCCAUCUCUGCUGAAAUGUUAAUAACCAGUCCCAGACGUUUGUGUAUCACAAAUACAUUAAUAUACGUAUUUCAAUCUGAAGAUAAAAAAACAACAGGUAAGAGAAAAAUAAACAACAGAAUGAAGGUGAGUCCUGGUGUCCAGGUGAGCACACUGAAAACAAGGUGGGCUCUGAUUGGUCGUCACACAUAGAUGUCUUCUGCCCCCACAUUCAACUGCUUGGUGAUUGGUGUUUCCAUGGAAACAACCGCGUUGCAGGGAACUGUAGAGAUAUAACAUGUUAGCAUCUGUUAGCAUCUGUUUUGGUGUGUGUGUUACAGUUUGUGUACCAUAGAGAGACUCUUCCUCUCUUUCUUGCUUCUCAUCUUCGCAUCUCUUCUUGUUGCCACGGUGACCGUGCAUCAUCACGUACACAUUUUCCCCCGACGGGCCUGAAACGGUGACGGAUUAUAGUCUGACAUUUUAUAAUAUGAAUCUGUCCUAAAAGGCUGCCUCUGAUUGGCCACUGUACCUGCGGCGCUCGUCCUCUGAAUCCUCCUCCUCCUCAGGAUGAAGAUGCUGAAGAACAGCAGCAGACACAUCAGCAGGAAGCAGCAGAUCAGCAGGGCCACGUGGUCUGUCUGGCCAUCUGCAGACAGAGGCAUCACUGUUACCUGUUCGUCUCUGCAAACGUGACUUCAUGUUUUUCAUAGUGGGGACAUGUCAGACCUGACGUCUUCGUUGAUGUCACGGUUGUGGACUCACCGUCCUCCACCUGGAGCAGAAAGUCUUUCUUCAGCAAUCGUUUCCCUUCUUCGUCAAACACCUCCAGGCUGUAGUUUCCUGAGUCCUCGAUCUGGACCGGGCUGAACCUCAGGGAGCCGUUGCUCAGCAGCUCGCACCGCCCAUGGUCACACCUGGUCUGGUUGUUCUUUGUUGACAGCACCAGGUGGGGGUGAGUCCAUCUGACGUCCCAUCUGUGUUCCAGCCCCAGACUCGGCAGGUCUGACUGGGGGUGCAGCAGGAGAGUCUCGCCGCUGAGGGCAGAUACUAUGAUGAUCUUUGUUUUGGCAGCUGGGGUCAAAGGUCACACAAAUAACAGGAAACAUAAGUGAGCUGUCACUAGCUCACCUGCCAUCCAGGUGUUCGAGCAACAAGGGAUCAGAGACAAGUCGGUACCAGAAGCUGAAGGACUAUUCCCAAACAGUCAUAAAACAGUUAAAUAAGCUUUGAUUGGCUGGUUGUCAGUAAAAUGCAUGUUGGGAGUUGGAGUUCUCUCAUUCAGUUUGACUGUCCACAGGCUUCUAGUAGCUUUGACCUCAUUAUUCUGCAGUGUGUUGUGGUACUAUAGUGUAGUACAUGCUGUACUGCAUAAUGGAAAACUGCAUUGGUGCAUUUGUAUGUUUUUGUAGUACUUUAUAUUUUAAUAAGUUAAACUGUUAAAACACAAACACUGAUUAAAUAUAUGAUGUUAUUCUGGUGCUGCUGUUACACUCAGUGGUGUCAGUUUACUCUCAUUGACUGUGUCACAUGACAAAGCCUGUUUCUACUUUCACACCUGAACAUGAAACCACAUAUCUGAAAUAACGUCUCAUCUCAGAACAGACAGACUCACUUUUCAUCAUCGUCAUCAUCAGUAACUGGACCAGGAGCAACAUGGCUGCUGUCUGAGGUGCACUUUGCUGGCCCUCUGCUGUCAGUCACUGUGGAGAGGAAACG